rnacentral:lncRNA from 1 species
GUGGUUUUCACCUUCUCUAUGAGGCAUGCUUGAGCGUGCUCAAUACAGAUUAAAAACAUGGAGGAGGCAACUUUAGAGCUCCCAAUGUGUUAAGUCAAAUCUGCUCCUGCUGCUGUUGGACCACAGAAAUGAAUGUAGAGGAUGGAACAUCCAUCCUGAUAACAGAGCAACAUACAGAUGAAUGGGAACUACACAAAGUAAACAAAAGAUGGGUAAUGCAGCACCCCAGCAGGAAUUGUAGAGCCGCCAACUGAAUUGUGUUGACAUUGUAAAGUCGCAUUCCUUCGGAAUAUAGAACAGUUCUCUUGCAAAAAAAAACCCAAAGUCAACAAAAAUGCAUUAUCAGAAUUCAGAAAGAAAGCAUUUUGAAUGAUAACAGUGCUUCUCUAAAAAAAUAAAUAAAUAGAGCAUUGGAAUGAGCUUUAGAUUUGAACAUUGCCUUGGAAUCCAG